CAGCCCCACAGACCAAACUGGGAGACGUGGACCUCCUAUGUCCUAGCGGACCACCGUGGACCUCCUACCCCAGUGUGUUUUAGUUUGCAUCCUCAGAGAGAAACCUACCUGGACUCACGCUCUUGUCAUUAGAGGUAUUUUCAUUUCUUCUCUGGAAGCAUUAUUCAGUUUGACGGCUCACUUCAAAUCUGCCACGUACCAACCUAGCUGAAAAGAACCUGAGAAAAUGAGCAGAGACAGCCACACAAAAGGAGCAUGGGGGGGGCACUAAAAUCAGAAGAACAAGAAAGACCAACAACAGUUGCAUACUGCAGUCAACUGUUAACGUGAGCUUGAAGGACACAUCAGGUCCCAAGAACCCCCUUGCAAGGAAACAAGCUGGUGUCAUACUGUGGCUUGAGCAUACAGAGGUAACCUGGCUUACUCCCUUUCAUUUGGCCAUACUUACUUAAUUUUUUCCAGUGUAGCAAGACUCUACUCUUGUCUUUCCUUCCCUGGCUCCCCAGUAAAUAGAGCUGGCCUGAAGCAAUUGUAAUUAUUUAUUUGAUUUCAUUUAUGCUGAGCACAAUCUUAGAUUGCAUUAGCUACAGUAAAAAUAAAAACAAAUCAAAACUCAUACCCCCUUCUGAAUUAUACUGCCAUGACAACAAUGAAAGUAGAAGUAUCCUCAUCAAAACCUCCCUUCCUAGCCCACCCCAAUAUAUUAAAGCUUAACAAAAGAGACAAGUUUUGCAAUGUGCCCUGAAGGUUCACCACAUAACGAAGCAAAUUCAAGAGCUGUGGGCUUUUUCUGCUGAGAAAAAAAGCCAUUUCCAAAUGUGUCACUCCAGGGACUGACGGUUCAAAUGCCUUGGCUCAUCUCAACGGUGGACCCAGUGUUUGCAGGCAGAGGCAGUCUCUGGGGGACGGGCAGGUUCAAAUCACAAGGAGAUUUAGAAACUAAGGCCUGAAUUGCACCUGGAAAUGAACUGAAAAUUGGCGCAGCCUGUGUGCCAUCUGCACUCCAUGGUUUGUGUCUGAAAUGUGGAUAUGUAAGCAGGCAGCUGCAUAUUGCAAUUAGCUGAAGUUUCUGAGUGGUCCUCAGACGUAGUGCUGAGCAGACCACAUGGCAGAGAUCCAGUCUGAAGAUGAGAAAAGCACAGACAAUGGUGACACAGUCCAACAGGACAAGAGGUUGAAAUCUCCUCACCAAGCAGAUAGGAGAAGGGGAAAUAAACACUCGUAUCUCCUGCUGCCACUGGAACAUUCAAAAGCAUCUGGAAAUCCAGGAGGUCUUCUCUAGCCGGGCAAAAAAGGGCAAGGCUUCCCUCCAUCCAGACAGCAAGCAUCACUUUUGCCAUCUCUCCCAAUUAUUUCCUGCCACCAUUAUAAUUUUGAUUUCGUAUACAGUCAGCUCUUGUCUUCCAAGCCCUGGGUUUGGAUUGAGCCUGAGAAAGCCAAAUGUCUGCAGAAACCUGAAGUCCCAUGAAACAGGAGUCACAGAGCUGAACAUCAUGAGCAUUUUGAUGGUGCUUUUUUCCAGCACUGUCAUGGUUCCUCUGUGGGUAUCACAAGCCUUCUGUGGAAAAAGUAAUGAAAUAACCCUCUGAUAACCCAAAAUGCAUGCAAUUUUUUAUUCAAAUGUCAGAAGCUCUUCACCAUCAAUCUAGUGAGUGCAGCAUAUAAGUCCUAAGUACUCUGAUGCAUGAACCCUGUUGUGGAAGACUCUCUCUAAAGUUUGUCUCAAAGAUGAUGUGAACAAAACCUAUUUGAGCCCUGCUGGGGACAUCAUAUCCAAGAUGUAGAAGUGUGGCAAAUUUUAGCCCUAGUUAUAGAAACGAGGAAGACUGUAGAGACUUUUCGGAGGGAAUUUUUUUGGAGGAAACUGGUGGCUCAAAGUGGGAAGCUCAGGUUGGAGGUUUACUGUUGGCCAAGAGUUGCACUGUUCUGGGAACCUAAGUACACGGUACUGGGAGUGCAUGAUAUCUGAAAGAGAGGACAAGCAGACUAGUUAAAUUACAAGACGACAACUGUGUUACCGUGAACUCAGUGGGUCUGACCUGCCCCUGCAUUGCAGAAAUUUUAGUCUUCCAAAUUGACAUCUCUCUGCUGAGGCAUCCUGAGCAAUGCAUUGCCCUGGAGCUGUGUGGUGGUGCAGCCACUGUCAUUUCUUGAGCCACAAAGAGCAAUUGUGCUUCCAGGGGUGAAUAAGUAGUAUGUCUACACCUCACAGUUUAGACAACAAUGAAAUCUAAUGGCAACCAUUCAUUAGCUAAAAGGAAUUUUUUCAAUAAAACAACAAACAUGUGGAAACUCAGACAAAUUCACACAGGGAACAGAUUUCAUUUUUUUGAGAAUGAUUGCAUGUCAGGAAUUAUAAUGUGAAAA